UACGAAGGGGGCUAGCGUUGCUCGGAAUUACUGGGCGUAAAGGGAGCGUAGGCGGACAUUUAAGUCAGGGGUGAAAUCCUGGAGCUCAACUCCAGAGCUGCCUUUGAUACUGAGGAUCUUGAGUUCGGGAGAGGUGAGUGGAACUGCGAGUGUAGAGGUGAAAUUCGUAGAUAUUCGCAAGAACACCAGUGGCGAAGGCGGCUCACUGGCCCGAUACUGACGCUGAGGCACGAAAGCGUGGGGAGCAAACAGG
rnacentral:rRNA from 1 species